UACGUAGGGUGCAAGCGUGUCCGGAAUUAUUGGGCGUAAAGAGCUCGUAGGCGGUUUGUUGCGUCGGCUGUGAAAUCCCGAGGCUCAACCUCGGGUCUGCAGUCGAUACGAGCAAACUAGAGUGUUGCAGGGGAGACUGGAAUUCCUGGUGUAGCGGUGAAAUGCGCAGAUAUCAGGAGGAACACCGGUGGCGAAGGCGGGUCUCUGGGCAACAACUGACGCUGGAGGAGCGAAAGCGUGGGGAGCGAACAGG
rnacentral:rRNA from 1 species